UACGUAGGGUGCAAGCGUUAAUCGGAAUUACUGGGCGUAAAGCGUGCGCAGGCGGUUCUAUAAGACAGAUGUGAAAUCCCCGGGCUCAACCUGGGAACUGCAUUUGUGACUGUAGAGCUGGAGUACGGCAGAGGGGGAUGGAAUUCCGCGUGUAGCAGUGAAAUGCGUAGAUAUGCGGAGGAACACCGAUGGCGAAGGCAAUCCCCUGGGCCUGUACUGACGCUCCAUGCACGAAAGCGUGGGGAGCAAACAGG
rnacentral:rRNA from 1 species